GUCCGUAUCAGCACGCCUGGACCAGCUCAGAACAACGGCCCCCACCAAUGUCUCAGUCUCUGGAGAGGACCCUCCUCUCACCAAGAUGCCCCCAGAGCCCACCAGGUAACUUGAGGAUUUGUUGAUCAGAUGUGGUUAUAUUUGUGAUCCUUGUUGAUGUCUUUUUGCAAGACGUAGGAGAUGUUUGGGAAGAUUUGGAAGAAGACAGCCACCAUUAUGCUUCAAACUUGUAAGUCCCAACAUAGAAUUAAUUUAAAAGAGAAAGGAGCUGUUAAUGUUGAGAUGGAAAAAAAAGAUUCUAUUUCUUCUAGAUUCUAUUUCCCAAAUGUCUCCCAAUGUCUUCUCUCCAUUUGGCAUCUCCUACUGUAAUCUAGAUGCUAAUUAUGUCUUGACUAUAUCAGUGCAAAGCC
rnacentral:lncRNA from 1 species